AUGAGGUGAAUGAGAGAUAAAUUUUCCAAUGUAAAGCCUCUAUGGCAGUCCCCACUUGGUCAUGGCAGCUUUUUAAACGGACAGUUUUGAAAUCGGCCUGCUAAUGUCUUCUUUCGGCUAUUUUGCCUCUGUGCUCGUGAUGCAAACUGACUCAUAAUGUUAUCGUUUGUGCUGUCCUUGUCUGAGACUGUUACGAAGGUUCUGCUAGGUUUGUGGGGUUCCUUGAGCAGCAACCCUGCGUCUUCCAUCUCUAGGGCCUUCUGACUUGCUUAAGGCACCAGGGUCCUUGCAGACGGGCUGAGCGGCGGCCGUCCCUGGGGCUCUCCUUGGAUGUCCUAGCAGUGCUUCCUGGUGUUGGUUACGCCGUCUCCUUGGCCCCCAGGACACUCCCACCUAGGGAAGGAGCAUCCUACCUUUCUGCAGCCCGCCCGCCCCCUUCUGCGGGCCUGGGACCACGGUCGUGGCUGGUCCCUCCUCCGGCAUCGCAGACAAAGCUGCGUGGUUUGACCUAAAACUUUUCUCCCUCCAGUGACAGCCUCCCUGAGCCGUCUCUACUCAGCUUGCUGCUCCCAAGCACUUUAAUCCCUCAGGGACCCUCGCCCGCUGCGUUAUAACAAAAGGUUCCUGUGUUCUAGCUCCACCCUGGACACAAGCCCCAGGCAAGAGGUCACUGCUCGGCUCAUCUUGCAAUUUCCACGCCUUCCGUGGCUCCAGGCACCAAAGCAGACAGGCGGCAGUUUGUCGAAUAAAUGAGCUAUAAACCUUCAGAUCAGUUCAACACAAGCAGCUCAUUACAGAUCCGACAUGCGGUUUGUUAUCCUACCAGCUUCUACCCCGGUGUCCUGAGACCCCCUGGCCGCGUGCUAAUUUAUCACAGAAACAAGGGUCCAGUUUGGAGUCACCGUUUAUUCCUGGAUACGCAUAGUCUCGUUUCUGUUACCAUACGGCUUAGAUUCCCAGAGGUGUUUCUACGUCUCAGACCUGCUCUGUAGUUGCUGUCUUGGGCCGGGGUCUCCCUGUGCUCCCGGCCGCGGUGGACAGGGACUCAGCCUCCCUCUGCAAGGUCACCGGUGUCUGGAUGUGGUGUUUGACCUUGGCUGUUCUUGCUGCAGAGGCUCCCUCAGGCAUUGUGCUGUUUCUCCUGCUCUGCCAAGGUCUCCUCUGGAGGCAGCCUUGCAUGCUUUCUAGAACUCUCUGAGCUGUGGUUCUUUGCACAGGGCCCACUCCGCGGGAGGGGCUCCUGGCCGUGCUGACCUCCAGACGAGGAAGCGGCUUUCCUGGAAGCCUGACCCCCGGGGCCAGCGUCCCCAAGAAGGAGCAGGACGGAGGCUGUCCCCGAGCCUGGUCCUUUUCCCUGUCGUGCUCCUGGAACGCUUCCCAGGAGGCCCUCUGGCCCACGUCCACGGCAAGGGCCAGUUUUGAAACUAAAGCACUUUGCACACACACCUAAACAGGUCCACUUCAGUUAUUUAAUAUUUUAGGCCAUAGUUGUUUUUGUCCAAGCCAUUGGUGAUGGUGACAGUGAUUCUUUUUUGAGUCGGUUGUUAACUUCUGUAAAGCCACCGUGUUACCUUUUUUAAUAAGACAAGGAAAUCAGGCAGGUUAUCGAGACACCAGCUCAAGCAGGGCAGGGUCGGGGGGGUGGGGGGGCUGUUCCGCCAGCUUGCAGAGCGCCUCUGGUUACCGGUUGGCUCUGGCAUAAGGAUGCCUUUGCCUUGAGUCAUGAAAAUGUUUUGGACAAGGAGCUCCCAUGGUGGCGCAGCAGAAACGAAUCUGACCAGGAACCAUGAGGUUGCAGGUUUGAUCCCUGACCUCGCUCAGUGGGUUAUGGAUCCGGCGUUGCCAUGAGUUGUGGUGUAGGUCGCAGACGUGGCUUGGAUCCCUUGUUGCUGUGGCUGUGGUGUAGGCCAGCAGCUGCAGCUCCAGUUCAACCCCCAGCCUGGGGACCUCCAUAAUGUUUUGGACAAGCCUGGAUGUGGAAGAGAAAUGAAACUUCUCAUCAGUGGUUUUCUGAGCAGCGCGGUUCCCAUGCAGCCUGAUGGGCAGUGUCCACCUUGGCCGGGUUUCUGGUUCAGAUGUGGGUGAGGCUGGACAGGGGCUCCCAGAUGCCACUUCUGGGGCUUGGGGCGGGGGAGCUGCUCAGGGCCUCAAAACAAGGACCACUGUUCCUCGUGCUGGGGGCUGUCCGGUCAUCGUGGGUGUCCUCACUGCUUCCCAAGGGCGAGAACUGACUGGAAACCGGUAUGUGAAGAUGUGGAAGCCAGUGCAGCGCGCGCGCGCGCGUGUGUGUGUGUGCACACGUGUGUGUGCACGCACCGUGUGGGAAGUCACAAACCAGGGAGUGGACGGAGGAGGAGGGAAGGGCAGCCCCCCCACCCCCGCUUCCCAGCCCGCCCCGGACCCGCCCCCAGCCCCCCUGGCCCCGGACCCGUUCAGGAAGCACCACGCACUCAGUCCUGUUUUGUUCUUUCACAUUCUGACGUUAUUGCAGGUUUGACUUUUGCUUUUGGAAGCAGCUCAGCAUCCGCCCAACGCCUGUUGCUUUGCCUUGAACCCCACCCGGGCUGGGUCCGGAGUCUGGCCACAGGGUUUCUAGAAGCACUUUCUCAGGGGAGGGGAGGAGGACUUUUGCCACGUGGGCUCACGGGACAGGAAGUGACCCUGGAGGGCAUCAGGCCUGCCCUUUCGACUUGGUGAAAAUAAACAAUUCUCCCACGACCCUGGAGCACGGUGGCCUCCAGAAAGGAGCCCUGCGGGAUUUGACCUCAGGCAUCGGCUGGGUUUACCACGUGCUCCCGGAGCAGCACCCACAGGGGCGACUCACCUCUUGCUGCCUAACAGGUGACCCCAAACGUGGCGCUUAUGACCUCAGUAACCCAGUGUGUGGGGGUCAGGAGGUGGGGAGCGGCUGGCCCGGGUCGUCCAGGCUUAGCGUCCCAGGGUGUCAGAUGUCAGCGUGGGCUGCCCACCUGUGGCCUUAGGGUCCGGUGAAGGAUGCUCACCCACUCCCUGGCAGGCAGGCGCUGGCUGUUGGCGGGAGGCCUCAGUGCUUCGCCUCCUGGCCUCUCCACCAGGCUGUCUGGGCGCCCCCACAUCACUGCAUGAGCGCCCCCGAAUGAUCCAGGGAGGGCAGGCCAGCGCUGUGUCCGGCACAACCUGGUCUUGGGAGUCACGCACCCUCGUUUCCGGGCGCCGUGCUGCUGUCACAAGCUGGCCGUGUCCGCUGUGGGGGCAGCACCCAGGGCAGGGCAGGGCGGGGCAGAGCCGUCUCAGAGCACAUGUCCUGGGCGCCCGCUCCACACCUCGGACCACGGUCAGCCCUUGAUCUUCAUGGUCGCCGUGGUCCUGCUGGUAGCCGGCGUUUCCCACGGCCCGGAUGAAGGACCGGAGAGCAUCUCAGCCAGAGCGAGUCGCCUGCCCUGAAUCCUGCAAAUGGAAGUUGGGGGGGGUGGCAGCCAGGCCCCCAUCCCUGAGGCUGGAGAACCCCCCACCCGCAUGCUCUGCUGUAAUUCGUACAAGGACCAGGGGACGGGAUAGAGAUCCCUGUGCUGCACAGCAAGGGUGCUAUGCUGAGUCCUCCACACACGCACAGGGAACCCCCAGCCGCUGCACCCCAGAUGAGGAGACGCCACUGCUUCUGGCCUGUCGGGGCCUCCCUCCCCCUGCAGCUUUCUGCAGACACCUGUCCUUCCACCUGCCUCGUAUCAGGAUGCCGUGCCCUUAAGAUAAAUCUCCACUCCGCCUGCCGUUUCCCACAGUUUAGACAAUAAAACGCCUGUUAAAUCAAUCUCCCUGUCAUCGGGGGUCACGUUAUUUGAUUAAUCACUGCAUAGAUCUGAGCAAACCGUGGGACUCUGGGAGGGCGUUCACGGUCCAGUUCUCUGGGACUGCCUGCAGAGCCGUUCUUCUCUGGGCUUUUUUGCCUCCAGAGGAGUCUUCCUGACGCCUUCUUGGUCUUUCAGUUUCUUUUAAAAAUGAAAGGAGUUCCCAGUGUGGCUCAGCGGUAACAAACCUGACUAGGAUCCAUGAGGAUUAGGGCUUGAUCCCUGGCCUCACUCAGUGGGUUAAGGUUCCGGUGUCGCCGUGAGCUGUGGUGUAGGUCGCAGACACAGGUGGGGGUGGGAUCUCGUGUUGCUGUGGCUCCGGCAUAGGCCGGUGGCUAUAGCUCCAAUUGGACCCCUAGCCUGGGAACCUCCAU
rnacentral:lncRNA from 1 species